rnacentral:lncRNA from 1 species
GGCCGGGGCCGCGGCACGUGCUGCCCAUUUUUCCCUCUGACUCUCCCUCUCUUCCGGAGUUCUCUUCCGCUGUAGUCCUUAGUUACCCCGCCCCCGCCUGGACCGGGACAAUGGCGUUGCCCAGGAAACAGUGCAGUUCCACGCUACUGACCUCCAGGGGAUAAAAUCCCCCUGUCUCCAUGUAUCAAGUGGCCCUAUAUAAGCAGUCACAUGGAGAGAACUGCAGCUUCCUGCCAACAGCCAUACAUAAUACGAACAGCAAGAUGUAUUCUAUGGUGCAGAAGCUUUUUGAACCAUUGCCUGGGUUUUGGAAUGAGAAGACACAUGGAUCAGAGCAGCUGCCUGAAGGAUUGCCACAGCCAACUAGGAGCCUGCAAGCGACCUGAGCAAGAAAUCAAUCUUUGUUUUGUAAGCCACUAAAACUUAGGGCUGUUUAUAAUUGCCAGUUUCCCCAGUAAAUUUAGAGCUACAGGCAUACCUCAUUUUAUUGUGCCUUGCAGAUACUAUGUUUUUUACAAGACCCUCCACCAGCAAAAAAUAUUAUGACUCACUGAAGACUCAGAUGAUGGUUAGUAUUUUUUAGCAAUAAAGUAUUUCUUAAUUAAGAUAUGUACA